UACCUCCCAUGUACCUCCGCGGUUAUACUCAUACCUACAGCAUUCGACGGCAGUCAUUAUCACGACCGAGAAGCUGUGUAACACCCCAUGAAAACUUCUACAAGGAUGUCAUUCUCCUGCAAAACCCUGAAGAAAAGAACGUGGUAAAGCAGAACAAUAAACAAAAACUGUAUGAAAUGGGGCAUAUUUUGAAUGCCUUUGAGUUCUCUAAGAAUUGGGACAGCAUGACGGUGAUGUUCAAAUUAAGGGAUGCCUUCCAUGCAAAAUGUAAGUGUGGAGUUCAUGAUGGGCUGUGGAAACAAACUGGUAGUCCCAACAUUGUCAGGGAAUCGAGAGCUAAAUGGAAGAAUGCUUCACAAAAUUUUUGGACAGAAAACCUUAUAUUUAAAGCCUUCAAGAUCACUUAAUCCCGAGUCAGAAGAUGAACUUGAGAAAGAGUCUGAAAUUGUUCUUCCUGAAUCAAGGAAUUCCUUUCAAGAGGAAGCCCAUGCUUCAACCCAUGUGUCUGCAUAUAGACACGACACACUGCCUGCAUCAGCAGACCAGAUCAUUGUAAUUGUGGAGGAAGAUGACAGAAUGCCUGCAGAAAACAAAGUAAUUGAAGUUACAACUGUUGUGAAUGAUGACAUUGCAAAUCCAACCCACAGAGCUGUUUUUUCUUCAGAAACAGAACUACUAGUAAAUCAAGAAACAUUAGGCAAUAAAGGAGAGGUCUCUGUGCAUUUGCCAAUAACAGAAUUGUCAGCAGCUUCUGAAUAUAACACUUACCUUAACCUCAUUAGUACCAGCAACGACAGCGAUUCUGAGUUCUCUGAAGAUUUAAAUGAAGCAAUGAGGGCUAGCAUUGAGGAUCAACUGAUGACUUCUGCAGCCACCCCUUUGCAAGCAAAAGAAAUUAUUAGAUCUUGCUUCCAAAAUAUGCCAUGCGGAAGUUUCCAGGUUUAACAUAAACCGAGCAAAUAUUUUGGAUGGAGCCUUGAGAGGAUUUCGAAGAGCUACCUAUAGUUUUGCUUACGAUUGUAAAUCGCCCUGGAUAAGGGCGUCUGCUAAGAAAUAAAUAAUAAUAAUAAUAAUAAUAGUCCGAACAAAAGGAUGUCUGUUAAGUUCUCAGAUGAUAUGGGAAAAUUGGAGGAGGCAGUGUAUCUAGGGGGUCCCCGCAGAGAGUUUUUGCAUUUGCUAAUGCACAGCCUUGAGCAGUCACCCAUGUUUGAAGGAGCUGAAGGAGCACUCAGUUCAAAAGAUUUCAGAUUCUACCUGUCUUCAGAAUCUUCAAGAAUCAACUGAAGCAUGUGUUGACUACCUGAUAAAUGCCGGCUGUUUUAGGCCUAUUACACGUUUAGAAGAAAAGGACGUCCUAGUCCAGGAUAUUUUGAUUUUUCAGGUUGUGAAUCGUGUCCGUGGGUCAUUUGAAAGGUUUAAGGAGGGCAUGAAAACACUUGGAAUUUUAGAGAAGAUUAAACAAUACCCAGAUAAAUUUUGUCCCCUACUUUGUCAUAAACCCAUUAAACUUACUGCUAACAUCUUGGACGGCCUCUUCCACAUUACGUUCUCUAUAGAUGGAAGUAACAGGAAAUUUGUGGAAAGUAGAGUGGUGGCAUUUUGGUGUGAUUACUUGCAAGAUG